rnacentral:rRNA from 1 species
GACGAACGCUGGCGGCGUGCUUAACACAUGCAAGUCGAACGGAAAGGCCCUGCUUUUGUGGGGUGCUCGAGUGGCGAACGGGUGAGUAACACGUGAGUAACCUGCCCUUGACUUUGGGAUAACUUCAGGAAACUGGGGCUAAUACCGGAUAGGAGCUCCUGCUGCAUGGUGGGGGUUGGAAAGUUUCGGCGGUUGGGGAUGGACUCGCGGCUUAUCAGCUUGUUGGUGGGGUAGUGGCUUACCAAGGCUUUGACGGGUAGCCGGCCUGAGAGGGUGACCGGGCACAUUGGGACUGAGAUACGGACCAGACUCCUACGGGAGGCAGCAGUGGGGAAUAUUGCACAAUGGGCGGAAGCCUGAGGAAGCAGCGCCGCGUGCGGGAUGACGGCCUUCGGGUUGUAAACCGCUUUCGCCUGUGACGAAGCGUGAGUGACGGUAAUGGGUAAAGAAGCACCGGCUAACUACGUG